rnacentral:rRNA from 1 species
GGCAGCAGCUAAGAAUAUUCCGCAAUGGACGAAAGUCUGACGGAGCGACGCCGCGUGAACGAAGAAGGCCGGAAGGUUGUAAAGUUCUUUUGGACGUGAGGAAUAAGCGCCUCAGGGAAUGGGGGCGCGGUGACUGUAGCGUCUGAAUAAGCAACGGCUAAUUACGUGCCAGCAGCCGCGGUAACACGUAAGUUGCGAGCGUUGUUCGGAAUUAUUGGGCGUAAAGGGCAUGCAGGCGGUUGCGUAAGCCUGAUGUGAAAUGCCGGGGCUCAACCCCGGAACUGCAUUGGGAACUACGCGGCUAGAGUUGCUGAGGGGCAGCCGGAAUUCCAGGUGUAGGGGUGAAAUCUGUAGAUAUCUGGAAGAACACCAAUGGCGAAGGCAGGCUGCCAGCAGAUAACUGACGCUGAGGUGCGAAGGUGCGGGGAGCGAACAGGAUUAGAUACCCUGGUAGUCCGCACAGUAAACGAUGUACACUAGGUGUCUGGCCAUGAGGCUGGGUGCCAAAGCGAACGUGAUAAGUGUACCGCCUGGGGAGUAUGCCCGCAAGGGUGAAACUCAAAGGAAUUGACGG